AAAAAAAAAGAGUUAUGAGAAAACAAUUGCAUGUUUUAGUUGCUGAUUAAGCCUAAUGAGCACUCAAUAAGAUCAGAAAUAUAGUUUUGCAGUAUGUAGUUGAAUAAGGCAAACACCCAAUUCACUGUGUCCAAAUUAAACUAACUGGCCUGGUGCGGGUAAGCUUGUAGUUCAUGAAAACCGGAACAAUCUAAACCAUGAACUUCCAAAUAUUCUGCUCUCUUCUUUUAAUCGAACCUCAGAAACCAAGCAAAGAACUUGAUUGAUGAAAAAUAUGAAUAAAAAACAACUAACAUAAAUGGACACCUAGCUCUACAAAAUUAACAUUAAUCAUGCUUUGCAAACACACAUUCCAAGUUCUACUAUAUACAAUAACUAAUGAUUGCCCAUUGAAUAGAAAAUUAUAUGCGAAAUCGAAUACCCACAUGGAAAACCUAUCAAUUAUUGAUGCUGAUACAGUUAAAAUACGAGUGAUUGUGAGUUUACCGCAGCGCGAUUGCGAGGGUGA
rnacentral:misc_RNA from 1 species